rnacentral:rRNA from 1 species
ACGAACGCUGGCGGCGUGCUUAACGCAUGCAAGUCGAACGAAGAGCGAUGGAAGCUUGCUUCUAUCAAUCUUAGUGGCGAACGGGUGAGUAACGCGUAAUCAACCUGCCCUUCAGAGGGGGACAACAGUUGGAAACGACUGCUAAUACCGCAUACGAUCUAAUCUCGGCAUCGAGGAUAGAUGAAAGGUGGCCUCUACAUGUAAGCUAUCACUGAAGGAGGGGAUUGCGUCUGAUUAGCUAGUUGGAGGGGUAACGGCCCACCAAGGCGAUGAUCAGUAGCCGGUCUGAGAGGAUGAACGGCCACAUUGGGACUGAGACACGGCCCAGACUCCUACGGGAGGCAGCAGUGGGGAAUCUUCCGCAAUGGACGAAAGUCUGACGGAGCAACGCCGCGUGAGUGAUGACGGCCUUCGGGUUGUAAAGCUCUGUUAAUCGGGACGAAAGGCCUUCUUGCGAACAGUUAGAAGGAUUGACGGUACCGGAAUAGAAAGCCACGGCUAACUACGUG